GACGAACGCUGGCGGCGUGCUUAACACAUGCAAGUCGAACGAAGAGCGAUGGAAGCUUGCUUCUAUCAAUCUUAGUGGCGAACGGGUGAGUAACGCGUAAUCAACCUGCCCUUCAGAGGGGGACAACAGUUGGAAACGACUGCUAAUACCGCAUACGAUCUAAUCUCGGCAUCGAGGAUAGAUGAAAGGUGGCCGCUACAUGUAAGCUAUCACUGAAGGAGGGGAGUGCGUCUGAUUAGCUAGUUGGAGGGGUAGCGGCCCACCAAGGCGAUGAUCAGUAGCCGGUCGGAGAGGAUGAACGGCCACAUUGGGACUGAGACACGGCCCAGACUCCUACGGGAGGCAGCAGUGGGGAAUCUUCCGCAAUGGACGAAAGUCUGACGGAGCAACGCCGCGUGAGUGAUGACGGCCUUCGGGUUGUAAAGCUCUGUUAAUCGGGACGAAAGGCCUUCUUGCGAAUAGUGAGAAGGAUUGACGGUACCGGAAUAGAAAGCCACGGCUAACUACGUG
rnacentral:rRNA from 1 species